UACGAAGGGUGCAAGCGUUACUCGGAAUUACUGGGCGUAAAGCGUGCGUAGGUGGUUUGUUAAGUCUGAUGUGAAAGCCCUGGGCUCAACCUGGGAAUUGCAUUUGAUACUCUGGAGCUAGAGUACGAAAGAGGAUCGCGGAAUUCCCGGUGUAGAGGUGAAAUUCGUAGAUAUCGGGAGGAACACCGGUGGCGAAGGCGGCGAUCUGGGUCGAUACUGACGCUGAGGUGCGAAAGCGUGGGGAGCAAACAGG
rnacentral:rRNA from 1 species